rnacentral:ncRNA from 1 species
GGGGAAGUAUGGUUGCAAAGCUGAAACUUAAAGGAAUUGACGGAAGGGCACCACCAGGAGUGGAGCCUGCGGCUUAAUUUGACUCAACACGGGAAAACUCACCCGGGCCGGACACUAUAAGGAUUGACAGAUUGAUAGCUCUUUCAUGAUUUAGUGGUUGGCGGUUAAUGGCCGUUCUUAGUUCGUGGAUAAGAUUUAUCUAGUUGAUUCCGAUAACGAGCGAGACUUUUAUGUUAUAUUAAAUUUAAAUAUUUUUUAAUAAUAUUAAUUUUAAUAACAUAUUAAUAGUGUUUAACUAUUUGAGAGAGAGCGAUAACAGGUCUGUGAUGCCUUUAGAUGUCCGGGGCUGCACGUGCGCUACAAUGUAGUGAUCAUUAUGUUCCUGUUUAAAGAUAAAUGGGUAAACAUUGAAAACAUUACGUAACUGGGAGUGAAACUUGCAAUUAUGUUUCAUAAACGAGGAAUUCCAAGUAAACGUAAGUCAUUAGCUUAUAUUGAUUACGUCCCUGCCCUUUGUACACACCGCCCGUCGCUGCCCGGAACUGAGCAAUAUCGAGAGGCAGGAAGAGAUAUAAAUAAUUUUAUAUUUUUUAUGUUAAAUCCUUCCAAUCGCUGUUGUUUGAACCGGGCAAAAGUCGUAACAAGGUUUUCGUAGGUGAACUUACGAAAA